rnacentral:rRNA from 1 species
AGAGUUUGAUCCUGGCUCAGGCUGAAAGCUGGCGGCAGGUAGGCUACACAUGCAGUCGAGCGGUAGCACAGGAGAGCUUGCUCUCUGGGUGACGAGCGGCGGACGGGUGAGUAAUGUCUGGGAAACUGCCUGAUGGAGGGGGAUAACUACUGGAAACGGUAGCUAAUACCGCAUAACGUCUUCGGACCAAAGUGGGGGACCUUCGGGCCUCACGCCAUCAGAUGUGCCCAGAUGGGAUUAGCUAGUAGGUGGGGUAAUGGCUCACCUAGGCGACGAUCCCUAGCUGGUCUGAGAGGAUGACCAGCCACACUGGAACUGAGACACGGUCCAGACUCCUACGGGAGGCAGCAGUGGGGAAUAUUGCACAAUGGGCGCAAGCCUGAUGCAGCCAUGCCGCGUGUGUGAAGAAGGCCUUCGGGUUGUAAAGCACUUUCAGCGAGGAGGAAGGGUUCAGUGUUAAUAGCACUGUACAUUGACGUUACUCGCAGAAGAAGCACCGGCUAACUCCGUGCCAGCAGCCGCGGUAAU